rnacentral:rRNA from 1 species
UCCGGUUGAUCCUGCCGGACCCCACUGCUAUCGGGACGGGACUAAGACAUGCUAGUUGUGCGCCUUCAAGCUAUGAUGGAGGAGCAGCGUACAGCUCAGUAACACGUGGCCAAUCUGCCCUUGGGAAGAGAAUACCCCCGGGAAACUGGGACUAAAUCUCAAUAGGUGAAGAAACUUGGAAUAGUUCAUCACUCAAAUAACGCUUAGAUCAUGCUUCUAGGCGUUGCCCAAGGAUGGGGCCGCGACCGAUCAGGUUGUUGGUGAGGUAAUGGCCCACCAAGCCUUUGACCGGUACGGGCCGUGAGAGCGGUAGCCCGGAGAUGGGUACUGAAACAAGGGCCCAGGUCCUACGGGACGCAGCAGUCACGAAAACUCCGCAAUACACGAAAGUGUGACGGGGCCAUCCCGAGUGCUUUCCGCUGAGGAUAGCUUUUCUCUAUUGUACAAAGAUAGAGGAAUAAGGAGAGGGCAAGUCUGGUGUCAGCCGCCGCGGUAAUACCAGCUCUCCGAGUAGUGGGGAUGUUUAUUGGGCCUAAAGCAUCCGUAGCCGGCUAUGUUAGUCCUCUGUUAAAACCAGCGAUUUAAUCGAUGGAGUGCGGAGGAUACUGCAUGGCUAGGGGGCGGAAGAGGCCGACGGUAUUUCCGGAGUAGGGGUGAAAUCUUAUAAUCCCGGAAGGACCACCAGUGGCGAAGGCUGUCGGCUAGUACGCGCUCGACGGUGAGGGAUGAAAGCUAGGGGAGCGAACCGGAUUAGAUACCCGGGUAGUCCCAGCUGUAAACGAUGCAGGCUAGGUGUCAGAGUGGCUAUGGGCCACUCUGGUGCCGCAGGGAAACUGAUAAGCCUGCCGCCUGGGGAGUACGGCCGCAAGGCUGAAACUUAAAGGAAUUGGCGGGGGAGCACCACAAGGGGUGAAGCUUGCGGUUUAAUUGGAGCCAACGCCGGAAAUCUCACCGGAGGCGACAGCAGAAUGAAAGCCAGAUCGAAGAUCUUGCUAGACGAGCUGAGAGGAGGUGCAUGGCCGUCGCCAGUUCGUGCCGUGAGGUGUCCUGUUUAGUCAGGCAACGAUCGAGACCCGCAUUCCUUGUUGCUAACAGCCAAGAGCUGAGCACACUGGGAAGACUGCCGUCGAUAAGACGGAGGAAGGAGCGGGCCACGGCAGGUCAGUAUGCCCCGAAUCCUCCGGGCCACACGCGAGCUGCAAUGGCAGGUACAAUGGGUUUCAACCCCGAAAGGGGAAGGUAAUCCCGAAAGCCUGUCGUAGUUGGGAUCGAGGGUUGUAACUCACCCUCGUGAACAUGGAAUCCCUAGUAAUCGCGCGUCACUACCGCGCGGUGAAUACGUCCCUGCUCCUUGCACACACCGCCCGUCGUUCCAUCCGAGCGACUCAUGGAUGAGACAUGGUCUAACUUGGCUGUGUCGAAUCUAAGUUCCGCGAGGAGGGAAAAGUCGUAACAAGGUG